AAUCUCCCCCCCUUGCGACGACAGCGACUUCUCGUCGUCGCCACCGCCACCACACGCCGCCACUUGGGGCGGCACCGGUUCCGUUGGAACCACCACACUCCCUACUUUCCAUUCCACCUCACCACCGCCUCAAUCCGCCACCGUGGUCGCCGGAGACAGCCACGAAAAGUAGUGGUUUGGACAGAUUUUUACCAAACUUUCGGCCUCUCGUUCUCUCUCAUUUCUCCACCAAAUUUGACGAGUAGGGUACUCCGACCACGCAUACGCAGCAGGUGGGACCCUCUCAGGGUCAGGCAGUGUGGGACUACUUCCAGUAGUUGACUGAGCUCCGCAGCUGAGCCGGAUCGUGUGCUUACGAGUCUUGAGCCUUCGUAGGAUUCCUUCAUUCUGUUUUCCUUGAACUUUAUUUUUGUUGUAUUUAAAUUCCUUAGAUAUGCUCUAUUAUCGCCCUUGCUAGGGUUUGAUCUUUGAGGCCGGAGGCCUUUGUUUUAAACUGUUUAUUUGCUUUAAAGCAUGCUGCUGGUUG